rnacentral:rRNA from 1 species
AUUGAACGCUGGCGGAAUGCUAUACACAUGCAAGUCGAACGGCAGCACGGACUUCGGUCUGGUGGCGAGUGGCGAACGGGUGAGUAAUAUAUCGGAACGUGCCCAGUCGUGGGGGAUAACGUAGUGAAAAUUACGCUAAUACCGCAUACGAUCUAAGGAUGAAAGCGGGGGAUCGCAAGACCUCGCGCGAUUGGAGCGGCCGAUAUCAGAUUAGGUAGUUGGUGAGGUAAAGGCUCACCAAGCCAACGAUCUGUAGCUGGUCUGAGAGGACGACCAGCCACACUGGAACUGAGACACGGUCCAGACUCCUACGGGAGGCAGCAGUGGGGAAUUUUGGACAAUGGACGCAAGUCUGAUCCAGCCAUUCCGCGUGCAGGACGAAGGCCUUCGGGUUGUAAACUGCUUUUGUACAGAACGAAAAGGUCUCUAUUAAUACUAGGGGCUCAUGACGGUACUGUAAGAAUAAGCACCGGCUAACUACGUGCCAGCAGCCGCGGUAA